GUCGAGAAUUUUUCACAAUGGGGGAAACCCUGAUGGAGCGACGCCGCGUGGGGGAUGAAUGGCUUCGGCCCGUAAACCCCUGUCAUUCGGGAUCAAUGCUGAUAACUUAACACGUUAUCAGUUGAUAGUACUGAAAGAGGAAGGGACGGCUAACUCUGUGCCAGCAGCCGCGGUAAUACAGAGGUCCCAAGCGUUGUUCGGAUUUACUGGGCGUAAAGGGCGCGUAGGUGGCGGGCUAAGUCUGGUGUGAAAGCUCUGAGCUCAACUCAGAAAUGGCACUAGAAACUAGUCUGCUAGAGGAUUGGAGGGGAGACUGGAAUUCUCGGUGUAGCAGUGAAAUGCGUAGAUAUCGAGAGGAACACCAGUGGCGAAGGCGAGUCUCUGGACAACUCCUGACACUGAGGCGCGAAAGCUAGGGGAGCAAACGGGAUUAGAAACCCGGGUAGUCC
rnacentral:rRNA from 1 species